GCUGCGGUUCCGCGGUUGUUAGCGCGUUCGAGCAUCUUUCGUUGGUUUUACUUGCGUUGGCCCGACGUUUCCUCUGCCGGAAGUGCCUGUUCUGAAUGCGGGCUCAGGACUUCCCUGGUGGCGCGGUAGUUCAGAAUCCACUUGCCAGUGCAGGGGACACGGGUUCGAGCCCUGGUCUGGGAAGAUCCCACAUGCCGCGGAGCAGCUAAGCCCCUGUGCUACAACUACUGAGCCUGUGCUCCAGAGCCCACAAGCCACAACUACUGAGCCCGCAUGCUGCAGCUACUGAAGCCUGCUCACCUAGAGCCCGUGCUCCGCAACAAGAGAACCCACUGCAAUGAGAAGCCCACGCACCACAACAAAGCGCAACGAGGAGUAAACCCCGCUCACCACAGCUAGAGAAAGACUUUGCACAGCAGCAAAGACCCAGUGCAGCCAUAAAUAAAUAAAUGAAAAAGAACACGGGCUCAGACUCUCUCUGCACUUAAUUUAGGCCUUCUAUGAUGUCUUACACAGUCUCCUCCUCUCUGGGGGCCUUCUUUCCCCUCUUCCUAGAACGGCAGCAAGACCCCACUGUGAGAAGGUUGGACCAAUGCUGGCUGCCUCUGCCUACCAGCUCCUGUGGACUGUCAAGGUCCCUCCUAGGCAUCACAUGAACCUACUGGCCAUCAUCAUUCUCUUCCUGCAGUUCAGAUGCUUUUUCAGCCAUCACACAAACUGCUGCAAGGGGCCUGAGAAAGUUUUAAAAUUACUCUUUUAGUUUAUUUAACAGUUAUAUGGCAGUUCUGACUUUAUUAUUAUUGUGUCCAUUUUAAUAUUAUAUUUUUCUAGGAAUUUUCCAUUUAAUACA